AGAAAUUUAGGUUAAUAAGACCAAGAGCCUUCAAAGCCCUUAGUAAGUAAAUUUUACUUAAUUUCUG
rnacentral:tRNA from 4 species